UACGAAGGGUGCAAACGUUGCUCGGAAUUAUUGGGGCGUAAAGCGCACGUAGGCGGCUUAGCAAGUCGGAUGUGAAAUCCCUCGGCUCAACCAAGGAAGUGCAUCCGAAACUGCUGGAGCUUGAGUACGAAAGAGGAUCGCGGAAUUCCCGGUGUAGAGGUGAAAUUCGUAGAUAUCGGGAGAACACCAGUGGCGAAGGCGACUACCUGGCCUGUUCUUGACGCUGAGGCGCGAAAGCUAGGGGAGCAAACGGG
rnacentral:rRNA from 1 species